GAAUUUUGGACAAUGGGGGAAACCCUGCUCCAGCCAUCCCGCGUGUGCGGUGAAGGCCUUCGGGUUGUAAAGCACUUUUGGCAGGGAAGAAAAGGUUCUGUCUAAUACCUGGAACGGAUGACGGUACCUGCAGAAUAAGCACGGGCGACCUACGUGCCCGCGGCCGCGGUAAGACGUAGGGUGCAAGCGUUGAUCGGAAUUACUGGGCGUAAGGCGUGCGCAGGCGGUUUGGCAAGAAGGAUGUGAAAUCCCAGGGCUUAACCUUGGAACUGCAUUCUUAACUGCCGGGCUAGAGUAUGUCAGAGGGGGGUAGAAUUCCGCGUGUAGCAGUGAAAUGCGUAGAGAUGCGGAGGAAUACCGAUGGCGAAGGCAGCCCCCUGGGAUAAUACUGACGCUCAUGCACGAAAGCGUGGGGAGCAAAC
rnacentral:rRNA from 1 species